UGGGGAAUUUUGGACAAUGGGGGAAACCCUGAUCCAGCCAUGCCGCGUGCGGGAAGAAGGCCUUCGGGUUGUAAACCGCUUUUGGCAGGAACGAAACGGCGUGCGCCAAUACCGCGCGCUAAUGACGGUACCUGCAGAAUAAGCACCGGCUAACUACGUGCCAGCAGCCGCGGUAAAACGUAGGUGGCGAGCGUUAUCCGGAUUCACUGGGCGUAAAGCGCCUGCAGGCGGUCUUGUAAGUGGGAUGUGAAAUCUCCCGGCUUAACUGGGAGGGGCCAUUCCAUACUGCGGGACUGGAGGGCAGAAGAGGGGAGUGGAAUUCCCGGUGUAGUGGUGAAAUGCGUAGAUAUCGGGAGGAACACCAGUGGCGAAGGCGACUCCCUGGUCUGCUCCUGACGCUAAGAGGCGAAAGCUAGGGGAGCGAACGGGAUUAGAAACCCCGGUAGUCCUAGCCAUAAACGAUGGAUACUAGGUGUUGGUGGUCCUAACCCCAUCAGUGCCGAAGCUAACGCGUUAAGUAUCCCGCCUGGGGACUACGGCCGCAAGGUUA
rnacentral:rRNA from 1 species